rnacentral:lncRNA from 1 species
AUGAGUAAUGGGUAGAAAAUCUGCACCCAAUGUUGGAUAAGGCAGAUCCGCGAUGACGAAAAUCCAUUUGAAAUCUCUACGUAGAGACAAAUUUACAGAUUAGGAAAUCUGUCCGUAAGUCCAGAUAGUAGAGUGGUUAACAGCAUACAAAGAAAUAUCGAAGGUUGAGGCCUUGUCGAGGUGAAACGUAAGGGCUAAAUACUGAUGCUGGCUUCCGUGUCGACCAUGAAAUGCUUAGAGGAGUUGACGUCUCUUACAAAAAAUGCACGAUGCAGAGUAGAACGAAGGACGGGGACAGCUGACGUACUCAGGGUCUCCCGGUCUAGUUGCCCCGUAGUGAUUAAGAGCAAGGCUGUCUACACUGACGUGCCUUAUCCCCGAAUCGUCGAUGGUACCAACAUGGCGUAUUGGACGAAGUGAUAGCACGCUGGCGAGAAGAAGAACGAUGCCUAAAACGAUCCCAGGAAGACGAUCAGGAAAAAGAGGAACGCACAUGACACAACCGCGAAACUUGUUGCGCCAAGCCCUUAAUUGCCUUCAGGGUUUCUGCUUGUGAUGCCACAUCGUCCGAUGAAGAAUCCCAGGUAUCUGUAGACGAAGUGAUAGCUACAUCCUCAUCAGCGGACGAGGUAGACCUGGAGAAUUCCAGUACCUCUUUGUUCCAACGUAGCUAUUUGUUCCAGCGAGCUACGCUCUUUCAUAAGAUGGACUGGGCAUUAGAUGGCGACCGACAGAAAAAUAGUUACUUCAUGAAUUUUCUUCUGUUGAACUGUCGGCCAAACGCGAAUUCUGCGUAAAAAUUCUCUUAGGGUUCUAUCUCUCAAAUGUUCGUUCUCCAAGAGAUUUAGUAUUCCUGCGAAGGAAUCUGCUUUUGUUCUGUCGUAGGAAGCAUCUGGUGGUGUGUCUGUGAUUAGGUCUUUGACGGUGAGCACUAACGGCGAAGGAAUCCCACUCAGUACGAUGUGCAAUCUCUGAUGAGCCGACUGAAUGUUAUUGGAUACAAAGUAUGAUUUCAGCUGGGCAAAUCACAUCUUAGGACAGCGAUAAUAACGGCGUAGAGGGAUGUGACUCAUCUUCGGCGGGAAAACGUAAAACGCCUCUAGAAAAAGGGAAAACGAGCUAGACGUGACCAAAAACCUGAAAAUAUACGUCGAAGAAAAUUCCACAUGUGGUCGCAAGAAAACAGAAUAACGUCCUCCAACGAGAAAAUGUCAGGAGACAAGGACAAGGACAAAAGAAAAUGCAAAGUCGUACCUGACAAAGGAAAAAAAUUAUCACGCAGUGAAAUAGGGAGUUCGCAACAGAAAACGUUCACGUGGGUCGAACACAUAGACACAGUUGUUUAGCAGCUAUCGAACACACGAACACAUUAGGAGAAAAUUCAACGCAGAGAAAAAUGAACGUAAAAGCUAUCGUUCGUUGGUCAAAGAAAUAUUCCAUGGAGAAAUUCCACGCAUCGGGCAGUUUCAAUGAGUGGUCUACCCAAGUUAUGCAUUUCUUCUCGUAAAACAUCAUCGCGCCAUUUCUGUUUCAGGGGGAACCUUCCCCUCCCAAAGAUGGAGUAGAAACUUUCUCAUAACCAAGAGAUAUGUCCUUUUUUUCUGACCGGGUUCACUACUGUAGCCAGUUGGUCACUGGUGUAGAACUUGACCGUUGAAAAAAAUUCAUAGCUUUCCACACAUGAUAGAGCUGGUAAUGUAGAGGCAAUCAUGAAGUUGAACGACGUGAUCAUAUAGCAGGCAAUGGUUGUUGAAGCGAAGUCUGGAGAUAUUUUUAGAUUGGGUCCCCACUCUUUAGCGAGGGAUCAUGGAUGCGUGUUCUAAGUCGGGUUAUCCCUUUAAUAAUUGGUCUGAGUCAUUAAUCUAAUGGCUGGGAAAUGCCUCUGGUGCAGUAAGUGACAGCAACACACCAUGUUUGAAGUAGUACAAAGAUUUCAUAUAUUAAGAAAUAAAACGGUAGUCAGGAUUUGGAUAAAAACUAUUUAUUUAAAGCUUUCGUUCCUUUAAGAUAUUCACCAUGGUUCAUGAUGAAUGCCUGAGAGGGACGAAAGCGCUAAAUAAAUAGGUUUUAUUUAAAUCCUGGCUACCUUCUCUAUUCGUAAUAUAUAUGUAUCUGUGUGUGUAUAUUUAUAUAUAUGUACAUAUUUAUAUGUAUAUACACACAUAUAUAAUCAUAUAUAACACACACAUCUAUCUCUUUCAGUCUGCCUAUCUGUUUAUUUAGCUAACUAUAUACUUAAACACGCACAUACAAGUGCACACGCAUAAGGGCACGCACGUAUAUAUAUAUAUAUACAUAUAUAUAUAUAUACACACACAAACAUGCACACAUAUACACGCACUCAUAUACACACGCGAACACACAUACACGUACACACAUUCACAUAUACAUGGUUAUCGAAUUAUAUGCAUGUCAAAUAGUUAAUUCCUCAUUUGUAUAUAUAUUAAAAUUGCUAUAAGCAACUAAUCUUCGUCUGUGGAGAGAAAAUAGGUAUUCAUUUUCUAAUUAACUUUCUAAUGAUGUUUUAAUGAAUCUGGAAAUUAAUCAUACGAAACUACAUGUUUUCUGUUGAAGGAGACACAGAAAUUUAAAAUGAAACCAGUUUGGUUAUGUUCCGUAGUGGGGCAAAAUUGUUUGUUAAUUUACAUUUGUAUUAUUUCAAAAUGUGUUCUACACAAUGAACUAAUACAUAAACGUUUGUUUAAAGCGCAUUUUCAUGUGAAUUAGAUGAUUAACUUGGCAAAAUCAAAGUAUCUAAAUCAUUAAACAGCUAUAAGCUACAGAUGUUUGCAAAGCGAGACUAUGAGAAUUCUUGGUCAGAUUUGAUAAAGAUCUGACGAGACUAGAAACCAGUCACUCACACAUUCUCCUCACCAUGUCGAUACUAUGUUUUCUUUUAACUUUUCUCACCAGAUCGAUGCUCUUAUUUCUGUCUUGUCUUUGUUUCUUUUUCAUAGCGAGUCUAAAAUGGUAAGUAAGCACUAUAUGUCUAUAUGAUGUACUUUCUCAAGACGAAUACCACAUUGUUGUGGCUUUCUUACAGUGUGUCUCCGUUAAGUAAGAAAACAGCACAGCUCCCAUGACUUUCGGAAACAUUUUUUCACGCUAAGAGUUGCUGAAACAUGGAACAAACUGCCGGCAUCAGUUGUUAGUUGUCGGAGCACUGCAUCCUUCAAAACUUCCCUGCUUCCUGAGAUUCGCCAACACUACACCUGAUUUUCUCCCCUCCAUACACACGCAAGUUUCUAUCUGACUCAUACACUGUUCACUUCCCAGACAUUUGUACAUUACUGCAUAUGCUUUAUACGCACUUUCGACAAGUUGCGGUGCACCUGAGCACUAUAUACAAUAAUUUCAUUAUAUAUAUAUAUACAGAAUGUUAUUUUGAAUUAAUACAACAUUCGUCGCUAAUAUUAAAUUUUUACCCAGCUAUUUACGACACCAGUGACUUGUUAAUAAUUGUUUUUCUAUAUCAAGAGAGACGAAAUACAUACACUGAUGACGUGCAAAUAUGCAGAAAUCCCGGAUCUAGCAAUUCCAUCGCCGGUACUGGUCACUUUUCGUUUGCUACUGAUACUGCUGUGAUCAUCCAGUCUUUUUUUAAACAUAUAGAUUAUUUUAGACAGUUUAUUUUAUGAUAUGGCAGACUGUCAUAUGCGGACGAAAUAUUGGUCACAUGGCUGAGAAGAUCGUUUCACAAUCACGAAAUCUUGGUUUUAAUCUUGAGCAAGUGUCUUUUACCACAACCUCAUGUCAAUCUUGACCUGUAGGGUACUACUGGAUAGAUGUGAACUGUGUGGAAGCCCGUCACAUGGACUAUACCUGUAAUUUAAAGGUCCAAACUUGUCACUGUAUUGUGCUGACUCUUCCUAAGAACUACGUUAAGGGCAUCCGUUUUUGCGGUAUAUGGUAUAAUCAAGAAAUAAUACGUGAAUUCAAAGAGCAGAUAGUUAAUUUAGCAACUAAAUACUAAAACAACGGAGAUCCAUUACGAAUAAUACCAAGUUGAGUAAAACAGACAGGUUUGAUUUAUCCAUGAAAAGAUUUGUAGGUUUUACUUAUUUAUACUGUUUAUAACCUUGCACUCAUUUAAAGUGAUCGGUCUAAAUUGUAUAAGAGCUGAUGCACUGAAAUGCUGCAUUAAUUAAUUCCUAGUGUUAGUCAACAAGAAGCAUUUCAGGGAAGACUAUCUCAUCUUCUUUAGAGGUAUAUAAGACUUCCCUUUUCAAUUAAAUAAGUCGUAUACGUAUUUAAGAUGCCGGAGUGUGACUUGAGUCACACUCUGGCGGCGAGCUAGCAGAAACAUUAGCACGCUGGGCGAAAUGCUAAGCGGUAUUUCGUCUGCCGCUACGCUCUGAGUUCAAAUUCCGCCGAGGUCGACUUUGCCUUUCAUCCUUCCGGGAUCGAUUAAAUAAGUACCAGUUACGCACUGGUGUCGAUAUAAUCGACUUAAUCCGUUUGUCUGUCCUUGUUUGUCCUCUCUGUGUUUAGCCCCUUGUGGGUAGUAAAGAAAUAGAUAUUUCGUCUGUCGUUACGUUCUGAGUUCAAAUUCCGCCGAGGUUGACUUUGCCUUUCAUCCUUUCGGGGUCGAUAAAUUAAGUACCAGUUACGCACUGGAGUCUAUGUAAUCGACUUGAUCCCUUUGUCUGUCCUUGUUUGUUCCCUUUAUAUGUAGCCCCUUGUGGGCAAUAAGGAAAUAAGAGUGUGACUUGAGUAACAUUUGGCCAUUAAUUUCAUUUGCUGUUGUUAUAUAAGUGCUAUGUAUAGGGAUACUUCUCAUGUCUGUAGGGAGCAGAAGCGUUGCAUAAAUCAGUGGCUACCAGCGACAAAUAUCUACCACACCAAAAUAAUGGAAACAUUUUUGCCCUUCCACCAUUUUUUUUUAUUCAUGCGAAAGCAAACAGAGCACAUACGCAUGUAAUUUACCUAUCUCCGUCGAACAUUUUAAAAAACGUUUAAAUCUAUCUCGUUCAAUUAAACAUGGCUAUUCACCUGCACCA